GAAGAGCAAUCUUGAUCUGAUCAAGGAGAUAGAGGAAGGAACAGUCAAUUUGGCCGAAGAAAAGGAGACAGUUAGCGCUGAACUCGCGGAGUUUGCUUCUCAGUUCGCUGAUUCCCCUCCAUUGACCGAACCUAAUACCGGUUUGUCUUUGGAUGAGAUGAUGUUAACUGGUUCUCCCCGUGCUCAUUUUAAUGAGUUCGGAACCAAUGUUGACAGAAUUUCUUUGGGACGAACUCAGGGGUUCCCUGGUCAGGAUCCUGCCAUCUCCUCGAUAAUAGGAGAUGACUUUGAGGAGAGAUAGGCUGAUCAGACCUACUUGCCUUUUUUAAAGAAAAAACAUUAGAAUUUUUCCUCGGUCUCUCGGUUGCGAGGUUAGAGCUCGGCUUACAAGAACACUUCGCGAUACUUCAAAAUGUUUUCGAAAAGAAAACUUUUCAGUGAGAACUGUUUGCCUUUCUUAAAAGACGAAAAAGGUAUGAUACCAUUUAUUGAUUGUCCUUGAAUUUCUCGUUCGAAAUUAAGUUCGCCUACUAGGUGUUAAGUGGUACUUGAAUAACCUAUAUUUCGUAGGUCUUGUUUGUGCAUGUACGCGAAAAUCGAAAGGUUGUAACUGUCAGAUCAGUAGAUUGACGUUUAACUUCCUUUUUCAAUAAAUACUCAAGUGAGUGCUCAUAUAUAUUUUUUCUAUAUAAGGAGAGUUUUGGAAUUUUUCCAAUAAAUAUUUUCUUCGUAAGGAACUUUGCAGUUCUUCUUUUCUAGAUUCCUUAUUUACGAUGGCCUCUCCCCCGGGCGAACCUUCUGAUCCUAAUCCACCACGAUUCCCUUCGAGUGAAUCCCUGUUUCCGACGGGGGAUGGAUUUACUCCACACGGGGUGGCCAUUCCUUGUUUUGUUUCUUCCAUGUCUAAGGAAGGAAAGAUCUAGUGCCAUGAAUUCAUGGAACAG
rnacentral:lncRNA from 1 species